CGCCGCGGGACACGGCGCGUCCUGUGCCCGCUCCUCUCCCCGCUCCUCUCCCCGCUCCUGCGCCCGGCCGGGAAAAGCCGCCCCCGACGCGUCCGAGCGCAAGGUACACUGGUAAAUAUCUUGAGCAGCCCUGCCUGCAUCAAAGAUUUGUUUGGCUGUGCUCAGCUGUGGACUGAAAGGAGACAGCACAUCGGUUCCCAGUAAAGGUGUGUGUCCUCCAGGAUGUGCUCUGAGGAGUUCAGCAAAAGAGAGGAGGGAGCUUAGCCUGACCAGGGACAUCGUACUCGUGCUGCUGCCUUCUGAUUCCAUAACUCCUUUGUGUGGAUGUCUUUUCCCAGCAGAGUGGAUCAGCUUCUGCCAUUGAGAUUCCUAUUCCACAUCACUGUGUUUACAGUCAACAGUGAGGAAAGGGAUACUUCAAAUUCCCAAAGGUCACAAAAUACUGGGAAAUCAACUCUGGAUCAUGUCUCUCUUAGGAAGUCCCUCAUUUGUGGAAGUGAGCUUGGGCCGGACUUAGUAUGGGAAUCUGCUUCCGUGCCAGCUGUAGGUGCAGUUUUAAGGGUGAACUCCUGCUGUUGUCUGGCAGAGCCCUCACUUAUCCCAGGUGUGCAAGAAACUGUGGACUUCACAUAGACAAGUACUGAUUUCUGGAAUCUUCCCUGAAAUUUGUUCAAGGGUAUGUCCAAGUGCCUGUGACAGAAAGGCUUAGGAAAAUGCAGAGCUGGGAAAGUCUUUCAGGUGAUAUGACCAGAGAUGCCUUGCUAUGUAAAACUAGUUAUAAACCCACAUAAUCUGAGUUAAUAAUAGUAGCACUGAGACAAAACCCAUAUUGUCAAAGAGCAAGUACAUCCCAAGAGAAGCAGGCACAGACUGAAAAGGGUUCUCAAGUGCCUUCUCCCCUGGGAAUCCCAAAUAGCCUGCAGCCAACAAGUGACCUAGAUACAACAAUGUGCUUGCUCCUACAGAAUAAAACUAGGAACAAAAUAAUCCUGUAAAAUUAU
rnacentral:lncRNA from 1 species